rnacentral:rRNA from 1 species
AACGUAGGUACCGAGCGUUAUCCGGAUUUACUGGGCGUAAAGCGCGUUCAGGCGGUUUGGCAAGUCGGGCAUGAAAUCUCUCGGCUCAACCGGGAGAGGUUGUCCGAUACUUCCAGACUUGAGGGCAGUAGAGGGCGGUGGAAUUCCGGGUGUAGUGGUGAAAUGCGUAGAUAUCCGGAGGAACACCGGUGGCGAAGGCGGGUCUCUGGGCCGUAACUGACGCUGAGGAGCGAAAGCAUGGGGAGCGAACAGG